rnacentral:lncRNA from 1 species
AGAACAUUAAUAAUAAACACACCUUACAUCUAUUUUGAUAAGAUUAAACUGCAUUUAAGACCGAUUUUGGGGGUAUUUGUCUGCGUACAGUGUCAGAAAAACACAUUUCAAAUGAUAUUUUUGCGAUUUUCUGAUCGCCUUGAUAUCUGCAAAAGAAACUUUUUAAGAACGUUAAAUAUAACUCUAACGAAAAAUCGUAGCUUCUUUAUCAUUGUAUGUAACAUAUUAUCUGCAAACUAAAUUGAAUCAGCGUACAGGAGGUUCAUGUCUUUCCUGUUACCGCUACUUAAAUCAGCCGUUAAAUUAUUCUCCCUAUGAAUAUUGAAUCAGUCAGUGUUGAUCUCAAAAGUGCAAAGUAAUCUUUACAUUUAAAACGCCUCGUUCCUUGAACGACAUUGUAGAGAAAAGAAAUUUCAAGACAUUAAGGGAAAAAAAUAGAGCGUACUUUUUUUCAUGUCUAUGCUGUUACCACCAAUUUUGAUUAAUUACACCAACAGUAUACUUGUAAAAAGUGCAAUAACGUGCUGGAAACCAAAUUCACAAUAGAAAACAUAGUCACUUUCAACCAAAGGAGUAGUUAUUUCACAACAGCAAUCAAAAACGAAGAAAUUUGUCUAUCCUGUUAUGUCUAUCCUGUUACUAUGGUUGCUAUGGUUACAGUAACAGGAUAGACAAUUGUAGACAAAAACGUCGUUAAUUUUUUUAUCUUAACAUAUAGGUGCAAAACGAAUAAAAUAUUUCGUUGUUUGAACUCAUCUUAAGGUUAUAACGUCUUAAUCUUCCCAAUUUAAAAGCAUUCGCAAGUGCAAUACUGAUAUCGGUAACAGGAUAGACAAAAAGGUAACAGGAUAGACUUUUGUAUAGUGAUAUAUCAGAAACG